CUUUAUUUAGUAUAGAAGAUUCAGUGUAUAUAUAUUUUCCAAAUAUAAGGUUAAAGGGUUAAUUAAGCUUUGAAUGAAGA
rnacentral:tRNA from 1 species